CCUACGGGAGGCAGCAGUGGGGAAUAUUGGACAAUGGGCGAAAGCCUGAUCCAGCAAUGCCGCGUGAGUGAUGAAGGCCUUCGGGUCGUAAAGCUCUUUUACCAGGGAUGAUAAUGACAGUACCUGGAGAAUAAGCUCCGGCUAACUCCGUGCCAGCAGCCGCGGUAAUACGGAGGGAGCUAGCGUUGUUCGGAAUUACUGGGCGUAAAGAGUACGUAGGCGGUUAUUCAAGUCAGAGGUGAAAGCCCGGGGCUCAACCCCGGAACUGCCUUUGAAACUAGAUAACUAGAGUCUUGGAGAGGUUAGUGGAAUUCCGAGUGUAGAGGUGAAAUUCGUAGAUAUUCGGAAGAACACCAGUGGCGAAGGCGACUAACUGGACAAGUACUGACGCUGAGGUACGAAAGCGUGGGGAGCAAACAGGAUUAGAUACCCUGGUAGUCCACGCCGUAAACGAUGAUAACUAGUUGUUCGGUCACUUGGUGACUGAGUGACGCAGCUAACGCAUUAAGUUAUCCGCCUGGGGAGUACGGUCGCAAGAUUAAAACUUAAGGAAUUGACGG
rnacentral:rRNA from 1 species